ACCUGAGCAGGUUCGAUUACGACUUCUUCCAGCUGGAGAGGGCGGCUGCGGAGGGAGCGAGUGCAGACAAACUCGGUGCUGCGGACGGUGGAGACGGCAAGGCAGGCCCCAGUGUCCUGGCUGCAUUCCAGGACUACAUCAAACUGAUGCCGCUGGUUCAGAAGCAAAUCAAAUGAGUGAAGAGCUGAAGAAGGGACUUAACAUGGAAUUGAAGGUGAAAAAUUUGGCAUCGUCAGAUUCCAGGGGCUAUGACCUACAGAAGGAGGUCUUGGUGAAGGUGACCCACCACGGGUCUCACGAGGCAUUAUCCUAUCUCUGACCCUCUCUUCUGCCUCUCUCGGCCAUAUUGAAGACCCUUGUGAUUUCAUUGGGGCCACCUGGAUACUCCAGGCUAAUCUCCGUAUUUUAAGGUGUGGAUAUGGUCAAAAGCCAAGUUCAUCAAUAGGAAAUUCCUAAUGCAGGAACUUUACCAGCGCUUUCUAGAUGGAGAUCACGGCCCUGUGGCUCGAGAAGACGACCCUUUCUGGGAUCCUGUCGAGGUCGUCUGUUUGGGCUCAGCUCACAUCUGGCUCCAGUCGCUGGCCUACUGCAUGAAGCUGGAGGAGCAAGUGGAGUUUCUGAACUGUGACAGGCUGGAGGAGGCGGUGCUGCAUACCUGCAUAGCACCCUGCUCCCCAACAGGACAAACGCAUGGCGAGGAGGAUGUGGUUAUCGACCCUUUGGAGCUGCUGGGCAAGAGGAUGGAUUUUCAGAUUCACAUUGUCCGGUGCCUUGGCGUCAACUGGAUGAAGGAAGAUGCAAAGCGGGGCAUUCAGAUAGGGUACAGAAUUUAUGACCUUCCAAACACUAUUUAUACCAAACCUGUAUGGAAAAGUGUGAAUCCACAAAUUGAAGAGACUGUCCAAUUUGCAGCCUUAACUGCAUCUCAGGAGUUUCUGAAUUAUUUGCGGACAAAUGCCCUUAUUGUUGACCUAUGGGGCCUUCAAGAAGGCUGCACCGAGCUGAGCUGCUCUCAGCUGGGCCUCAGGGUCACAGGUGAAGGCCACAUCCUGGUAGACACCAAGAAAAUUUCCACUGUGAAGGAUAUAAGCCAAGCAGCAUCAAACCAGAUACCAGAACUUUAUCUGAAGCUGCUCAAGCUAGAGCAGGAGACAGAACUGCUCAGGAACAUUAACAGAACCCUGAGAGAGCAGAACGUGCUUCUCAAAGCAUCACUUGCAAAAAUUGCUUCUGGUCAAGCCCUGAAGCCUUCCAACACUCUGAA
rnacentral:sRNA from 1 species